UUUCGAUCCGUAAACCCCUGUCAUUUGCGAACAAACCUUAAUAGUUAACACCUGUUAAGCUGAUUGUAGCGGAAGAGGAAGGGACGGCUAACUCUGUGC
rnacentral:rRNA from 1 species